rnacentral:lncRNA from 1 species
CGAUCACAAGUCUAGUUUACGAUUUAUGAGUCCAAAGUGCGACUUAAGAAUCUAAAUCGGACUCUCAUUUACGAAUCUAGCCCGAUAUUCUAAAUUUUCGACUACAAUCAACGAUACCCUCGUUUUCAAUCUAUUUUGUCGCUAUGGCCUUAAUAGACCAAGGAACAUUUUGUCGCCUUGGCUUCAAUGAUCCUAUCCCAUCUUGUCGCUAUGGCCUUGAUAAGGAUCGAGAGUCACUCUGUCGCUAUGGCCGGAGCUUGACUAAUACACCAGGGUUCAAGUCUAGAAUUGUAGUCCUAAAUUGUAGUCCCUAUGCUAGUACAAGUUACAAAAU